rnacentral:rRNA from 1 species
GAUGAACGCUGGCGGCGUGCCUAAUACAUGCAAGUCGAGCGAAUGGAUUGAGAGCUUGCUCUUAUGAAGUUAGCGGCGGACGGGUGAGUAACACGUGGGUAACCUGCCCAUAAGACUGGGAUAACUCCGGGAAACCGGGGCUAAUACCGGAUAACAUUUUGAACCAAAUAGUUCGAAAUUGAAAGGCGGCUUCGGCUGUCACUUAUGGAUCGGCCCGCGUCGCAUUAGCUAGUUGGUGAGGUAACGGCUCACCAAGGCAACGAUGCGUCGCCGACCUGAGAGGGUGAUCGGCCACACUGGGACUGAGACACGGCCCAGACUCCUACGGGAGGCAGCAGUAGGGAAUCUUCCGCAAUGGAAGAAAGUCUGACGGAGCAACGCCGCGUGAGUGAUGAAGGCUUUCGGGUCGUAAAACUCUGUUGUUAGGGAAGAACAAGUGCUAGUUGAAUAAGCUGGCACCUUGACGGUACCUAACCAGAAAGCCACGGCUAACUACGUGCCAGCCGCCGCAGUAA